rnacentral:rRNA from 1 species
AUUGAACGCUGGCGGCAGGCUUAACACAUGCAAGUCGAGCGGUAACAGAGAGAAGCUUGCUUCUCUGCUGACGAGCGGCGGACGGGUGAGUAAUGCCUAGGAAUCUGCCUAGUAGUGGGGGAUAACUUGCCGAAAGGUAAGCUAAUACCGCAUACGUCCUACGGGAGAGAGGAGGGGACCUUCGGGCCUUUCGCUAUUAGAUGAGCCUAGGUCGGAUUAGUUAGUUGGUGAGGUAAUGGCUCACCAAGACCGCGAUCCGUAACUGGUCUGAGAGGAUGAUCAGUCACACUGGAACUGAGACACGGUCCAGACUCCUACGGGAGGCAGCAGUGGGGAAUAUUGGACAAUGGGGGAACCCUGAUCCAGCCAUGCCGCGUGUGUGAAGAAGGUUUUAGGAUUGUAAAGCACUUUAAGUUGGGAGGAAGAGCAGUUAACUAAUAUUUGACUGUUUUGACGUUACCGACAGAAUAAGCACCGGCUAACUUCGUGCCAGCCGCCGCCGUAA